GGGCCCGCACAAGCGGUGGAGCAUGUGGUUUAAUUCGAUGAUACGCGAGGAACCUUACCAGGGCUUAAAUGUAGUAUGACCGGUCUAGAAAUAGGCCUUCUCUUCGGAGCAGAUUACAAGGUGCUGCAUGGUUGUCGUCAGCUCGUGCCGUGAGGUGUUAGGUUAAGUCCUGCAACGAGCGCAACCCCUAUUCUUAGUUGCCAGCGGUUCGGCCGGGGACUCUAAGAAGACUGCCAGCGCAAGCUGAGAGGAAGGUGGGGAUGACGUCAAAUCAUCACGGCCCUUACGUCCUGGGCUACACACGUGCUACAAUGGUAGAGACAGAGGGCAGCCACCUGGUGACAGGGAGCGAAUCCUUAAACUCUAUCUCAGUUCGGAUCGAAGUCUGCAACUCGACUUCGUG
rnacentral:rRNA from 1 species